GACGAACGCUGGCGGCGUGCUUAACACAUGCAAGUCGAACGGAAAGGCCCUGCUUUUGUGGGGUGCUCGAGUGGCGAACGGGUGAGUAACACGUGAGUAACCUGCCCUUGACUUUGGGAUAACUUCAGGAAACUGGGGCUAAUACCGGAUAGGAGCUCCUGCUGCAUGGUGGGGGUUGGAAAGUUUCGGCGGUUGGGGAUGGACUCGCGGCUUAUCAGCUUGUUGGUGGGGUAGUGGCUUACCAAGGCUUUGACGGGUAGCCGGCCUGAGAGGGUGACCGGCCACAUUGGGACUGAGAUACGGCCCAGACUCCUACGGGAGGCAGCGGGGGAGAAUAUUGCAGAGUGGGCGGGAGCGUGAUGCAGCAACGCCGCGUGCGGGAUGACGGCCUUCGGGUUGUAAACCGCUUUCGCCUGUGACGAAGCGUGAGUGACGGUAAUGGGUAAAGAAGCACCGGCUAACUACGUG
rnacentral:rRNA from 1 species